UGGAGAGCGGGGCCGGGGGGGGCGGUAAGACGGGGGGUGGAAGAGUGUUCCGGAUUUAUUGGGGGGAAAGGGGUCGUAGGCGGAUGUAGAAGUCUGGGGUGAAAGUCUGGCGCUUAACGGUGGAACUGCCAGUGGUACGGUAAGGCGUGAGUAUAGUGGAGGUAGCGGGAAUAAGUAGUGUAGCGGUGAAAUGCAUAGAUAGUACGUAGAACACCAAUGGCGAAGGCAGGUUACCAAGAUAUAACUGACGCUGAGGGACGAAAGCGUGGGGAGCGAACAGGAUUAGAUACCCCUGUAGUC
rnacentral:rRNA from 1 species